UACGUAGGGGGGCAAGCGUUGUCCGGAUUUAUUGGGCGUAAAGAGCGUGUAGGCGGCCUGAAAGGUCAGCUGUGAAAACUCGAGGCUCAACCUCGAGACGUCGGUUGAAACCAUCUGGCUAGAGUCCGGAAGAGGAGAGUGGAAUUCCCGGUGUAGCGGUGAAAUGCGCAGAUAUCGGGAAGAACACCCGUGGCGAAGGCGGCUCACUGGCCCGGGACUGACGCUGAGGUGCGAAAGCGUGGGGAGCAAACAGGG
rnacentral:rRNA from 1 species